rnacentral:rRNA from 1 species
CGAGCGCAACCCUUGUCCUUAGUUACCAGCACGUUAUGGUGGGCACUCUAAGGAGACUGCCGGUGACAAACCGGAGGAAGGUGGGGAUGACGUCAAGUCAUCAUGGCCCUUACGGCCUGGGCUACACACGUGCUACAAUGGUCGGUACAAAGGGUUGCCAAGCCGCGAGGUGGAGCUAAUCCCAUAAAACCGAUCGUAGUCCGGAUCGCAGUCUGCAACUCCGACUGCGUGAAGUCGGAAUCGCUAGUAACCGUGAAUCAGAAUGUCACGGUGAAUACGUUCCCGGGCCUU